UUCGAUAGAGGCGCGGGAUUCAUCAGUACCGCUUCGCAAGGCCAGCACGCCGCGCAGCGCGAAAGGGGAGACCGCCGAAGUAGGAAGCCGGGGUUCUGACCGCUUCCCGCUGGGUCGGCAGAGAACAUCUGCCGGACUGUCACAGAAAUUUUUUGUGAAGCGCUAUCA
rnacentral:ncRNA from 1 species